rnacentral:tRNA from 2 species
GCCCGAGUGUCGGAACUGGCAGACGAGUCGGUCUCAAAAACCGAUACCUGUAAAGGUGUGUGAGUUCGAGUCUCACCUCGGGCACCA